GGAUCGCUCUGUCGCUCUCUCGCUGCCGGCUAGGAGGAGCCUGCGUUUGGCACUAGGACACAGUUUGAUUGUUAGCGCGGCGCUGUGGAUUCAGAGGACGGAGGAGUCAGAGGAGUGAGGAGCAGUGGCCGUGCGGCUCCCGGCGCUCGGCUAUCAUCAGCUCAACGCAACAGACGGACGGCACUAGCGCAUCAGCUCAGAUUCAAGGGAAAGCAAAACAGACCGCACUUUUCUCACCUUGUUUUCAAUGGCAACAAGCUACGAGGCGCCCCCCCUAGAAUCUAAUUUUAUUACGAAUGUAACCCAUUUUGAGAAGUUCCACUUUUGUGGCGUAACUGAUUGUAUGCCACUUCAACGCUGAGGAGUGGAGACUGGACGGUUUCACAAGUAAUCUUUUGAAAUUAUUUAUUCUGCAAAUGGCCCAGCAUCUUUGGACUUAGCCCCAGCGCACCGGAGGUAUUGGCUCUUGUUGGGGGAGGCGGUGUCCCGGAGCCGCGAUUUUCGCAAGGGGAUUACGCAGAGAGUCUGUCCCUUAAAUCCGCCUGGUGCAGUUCCGCCGGAGUGCUGCCGUGUAGAUUGGAACAACGAACGCGAGUUGUGACGCCGGUCCACCGGAGCUCAUCAGGAACUGCUGCGCACUGCCGAGACUGCAAGAGAAAACACUCUAGACCGACUCCAUCGCAACUUCGACACUGGGCUACAAACAGGUGCCUUGUUGGCGGAGCACCAGGUCGUUUGCGCAAUUGGGAGCACCUGUGACCAGAUGUUAAAAUGUACCUGACUCUUGCCUGAAGGAGGGAACUCUCUUCCCACGUACCUGUUGGUUCUUUUUGGGUUUGCAUCAGACAACAUUGCUUCAGCAUACUUUUCACACAUCCACUCACUCACACUACUGAUGCAACUGACUUUCACACUACACAUUUUUGUUAACUGGUUAUUUCAAAUAAAUUUGACCUUGUUUUUUAAA